AUGAUCCAGAGGCAUUCGCGGAAUUGAAAGUGAAGGAGCUUAAGAAUGGUAGAUUGGCUAUGUUCUCGAUGUUCGGAUUUUUCGUACAAGCAAUUGUAACUGGGAAAGGGCCAUUGGAGAAUUUGGCUGAUCACUUGGCUGACCCUGUUAACAACAAUGCUUGGGCCUAUGCUACUAACUUUGUACCUGGAAAGUGAGGUGUAAGUUGUUAGUGUAAUUGUGUGUGUGUUCUCUUCAUGUGCCCACGGAUUCUUGUUUUUAAUGCAUCCUUUUAUAAUGUGUUUAUUAUUAUAGUUUUAUGUUUGUUAAUGGAAUUCUCAACUUUUUAAUUGGGUGUGUGUUGUGAAUGUUAACUAAUCUUACAUUUUUGUUGAUUUUCUUGUUCCACCUUUUAUCAUCAACUGCAUUUUCAGGAACAGUAUAAAUCCACCUUAGAUUUUGUAGACUAUUAAGUAUUCUAAAACAAAUCUAUUUUAUGUGAUACAUGUUUUAACAUUUUAACUUCCAUUCAAACAUCAUCACAAUGAAAUGAUUCAGUAAAUAAGGUUCAAAUACUUUAUUGGGUAUGUGUGUUUGAAGAAACUAAUAGUGAAAUAUAUGGAAGACAAUACAUGAAGAUCGUGGAUUCUUGCGUUGUCCAUUUUAUUUUGGAAAUGAAUGAAUACGCUUAACUCAUUGUUUCUUGGGUUUUGAUGUAAAUAUGUAGAGUACAUGAUUGAGUUUGAGAGAGCUUGAGUGGGAGUAUCAUAACUCACCAGAUAUGUUAAAAUUAAUUGGAGAAGGACAAUAGUUUUGGAAGAAAUGGUGAAAAUAGGUGGUUCAAACUCGCUCACCACAUAAACCUAUAAUUUUUUUACAAAGUAUUGGAAGAAUUCUCUCAAGAGCUACAACACUCCAUAACUUCUUAAUUGAACGUCUCAUAUAAGCUUUUUCCUCGAAAAUUCAUUCAAAGAUGCCCUCGAAAAUUUCUUUAAAGAUGCAAACUUUUUUUCAAGACUUUAACUUCAAGAACAUCAACUCUACUUAUUCAAAUCAAACAUAACCAUCUAACCAAGAGAAAAUAAAAGAAUCAAAUACUAGAAAUCGAACCACAUUACAUCAAAACAACACAAAUACAACCAACACAAGUUCAACUUUAGAAAUUAAAUUUCUCUGAAAAUCUCGUACCAACAAAUAUCAUACAUUUUCUUUUCAUAUUUUUAACAAUACUAAAUUUAAUAAAAUUUAGGGGUUUUUUCAAAAAAAAUUAUUUACACUACCACAGAACAAACCCAACAAAAUUCAUUACAUUUAACUUUUAUAUGAAAGGUAAAUAUUUUGUCAAAAUGUUCUAUUUUUUUUUAUAAUUUUCUUAAUAUAAUUUAUUACUUAUUUAAACAUUUUUUUACAUGUUAAUAAAUUAUUAUAUGUAAAUAAAGAAUAUUGCUUUCUUAUAUAUAUCAUAUUGACCAAUUUUAUAUUUAUAGAUAUAGCGGAGUAGCUAAAACUUUCUAUUUUAGUAUUUUAUCAUUUUGUUAAUAAACUAAUAGAUUAAAAAUCUAAAACCUUGUUUUUUUUUUAAAUAACGAAAAUUCAAAUUUUAUUGCGGAAAAAAAUUAUCAAAAAUAGCAAAUUUGACAAAAUAUUUAUAACUAGCAAAAUUUUCAAAUUCUAUCAAUAUUGUUAUAAUUUGUAAAUAUUUUAACUUAUUUUACUAUUUUUAAAAAUAUCUCUAUUCCCAAUCCUUCUAACUAAAAUUUGUGAAUAAUUAUUUUAUAUAUAUUCUUUAAAAAUAUCGAAACUCUUCCAAUUGAGUAACAAAAAUGUAGGAAACCACAGGUGUUAAAACUUUAUACAAAAAUGUUAAAUUGAUAGGAAAAAAAAAUACUAGUUUUAUGUACUGAUUAACAAUCUUACAAUAUCAUAAAACAUUGAAAACAAAGAGAAAAGAAGUGGAAAGGCCUUCUAAUAAUCAGUAUCUAGGAAGUAUUCUACCGAUUUAAAUACCAGCCAUAAAUAUCUAUAAAUCUGAAAUGUAUUCACAAAGUACCAUCAUCUUUAUGCUUGAAAACGUAUCCUCCAUUUGAAAGUCACUAUUUUUAGUGCCUAGAUGAACCUCGGCGGCCAACAUUAUUUCUGAAUGUGGAUCUCCUUCUGUGAGAGAUGAUGUUGUUUUGUUCCAGUCGCCGUUGCUUUUUACCUUUUGUGACAGUUUGUUUUUUCCGUCUCUUCUAUUUUAUGACACGAUUGUUGUAGUAGAUAGUUUUUAUUGUGGUGACAAGAAGGAAAAAGUUCUAAUAAUAAAGCAAAAGUCGUGGAAAAUGACGAUUUGGUUGCCAUCAUUUCUGUGGUAAAUAUUGCUUGGAUACUAGAGGUUGGGGGAUUUAUACUAGGGCAACUAGGCACAUUUGUAAGGACAAGUCAUGGUUCAUUACAUAUGAGAAGUAAGAUGGCAGUGAUAAGUUGUACAUGGAUAAUGUUUCAACUGCCUCUGUGGAAAGCAAAGGGAAAGAUCCUACUAAAAUCAACUUUUGGAAAGAUACUUACUCUCUUAAUGAUGCGUCAGAAACUCUACUUAAUAAAAGAUGGGUUCAAGCUUGUAUUUGAGUCAAAUAAAAUUAUUCUAACCAAGGGGUAUGUAUGUGGUAGAAGACUAUCUAAGGGAUGUCAUGCUCAAAUUGAAUGUACUUGCACAAAUGCCAUAGAAUAAUAAUAAUAAUAUCAACUCUUGUGCUUAUAUUGUCUAUUAUCAACUCUUGUGCUUAUAUUGUCUAGCUAUGUGAUGUUUGACAUUCUAGAUUGGAGCAUUUAAUUAUCUAUUUUCUUUAAAUAAAAUGGUAAGUUUAUAACUAUCGUUGAAUUUAAAAAUUAGUAAUAGACAAAAAUGUUAAGUUUGUGUUAAAUCAAAGUUUACUCGAAAGUCAUUUGUAUAUAUGAAAAGAAGUAACAUUAAUGAGUUACUUUAUUUAAUCUUCAGUGAUGAUGUGACAUGAAAAGUAUUCCCACAAGUGGUGGUAAGAGAGACUUUGUCACAUUCAUUGAUGAUUGUAGUAAAUAUUGCUAUUUAUAACAUACUAAAGAUGAGACCUUUAAUAUUUCUAAGGCAUAUAGAAGUUGAAAAUCAACUUGAGAAGAAAAUAAAGAUUCUUAGAUCAAAUAGAGGUAGUGAAUAUGAAUAAUCAUUUCUAUAUGAAUUUUGUGAAGCUAAAGGUAUAAUCCAUCAAACUACAUAACCUUAUACACCACAAUAAAAUGGUGUUUUUGAAAGAAAUAGCCAAAUUUUAAAGGACAUGGUUAAUUGGAUGUUAAAUACUUCAUGUUUACUUCACAAUUUAUGAGGGGAAGCUUUAUUUGCUUACAACAAAGUUUAUAGUAAAUACAAUUCCAUAUAAGAAAACUAAUAAGUUGGGUUACAAAGUGUGGAAUGGAAAUCUGCCUUCAAAAGUGUGGGGUACUUGACAAAGGUACAAGUUCCUUUACAAAGAAGGGACCAAACAUGGGCCUAGCUAAGACAAUUGAUUGUGUAGCUAUAAACAAUGUUGCUUGGUGAUUAAAUAAAAAAUACAUGAUAUUAAUUAUAAUACCAUAUGAACACAUUGAAGCUAGAUUAUUUGAGGAUAUAUUUCCUUUAAGAAAGGAAGGACACACAAUUAUUGGUGCCAAAAGAACUAGUGAGGCUAGCUCUUCAAAAGGUCAAAAGAUGUUCUGAAAACUAAGUUUGAAUGUAGAAGAAACAAAAGAGCUAGGAAAGCUACUUCUUUUGGACUUGAUUUCAUAACUUACAUGAUAGAAGGUGAGUCUCAAACUUUUCAAGAAGCCUUAUCAUCUCCUGAUGCACCUUAUUGGAAGGAAGCUAUCAAUAGUGAGUUAGAAUCUAUUUUACAUAACAAUACCUGGUUAUUGGUUGAUUUGCCUCCACGAAGAAAAUCAAUUAGGAGUUAAAUGGAUUUUUAAGUAAAAGCUAAAGGUGAAUGGCACUAUUGAUAAAUAGAAAGCCCACUUAUUAGUUAAAGGCUUUUGCCAAAAGGAAGGACUAGAUUUCUUCGACACCUAUUCUCCGAAUUACAUCUAUAAAGGUGUUAAUUGUAAUAGCAAAUUUACAAAAUUUAAAAAUACACCAAAUGGAUGUAAAAACUCAUUUUUAAAAGGAGAUUUAAAUGAAGGAAAUUUAUAUGAAACGACAUGAAGGGCUUGUUGUUAAAGGACUUAAAAAUAAAGUUUGUAAACCUGUUAAGCCUUUUUAUGGGUUGAAACACGCACUAAAACAAUUGUAUGAAAAGUUUGAUCACACUAUGUUAUUGAAUGAGUUUAAGAUAAAUGGGUGUGAUACAUUUAUCUACAUGUUAAAACCAUGGAUCAAGAGUAUAUCAUUGUUUACUUAUAUGUUGAUGAUAUGUUAAUAAUGGACACAAAUAGGAGUGUCAAUGGUUCAACUAAGAGGAUGUUGAAGAAAAACAUGAUGAAGGUGUGUCGUCUCUAGAACAUUGUAAAGUUAUUGAUAGCUUAACGUACCUAAUUAAUUGUACAAGACCUGAUAUUCUCUUUUAAGUAGGAAUGUUAGCAAGAUACACCAUCAAUCCUAUGCAUAACCAUUGUAAUGUGUUAGUAAGAGUUUCUAAGGUACUUGAAGUACACUCUAGACUAUAGAUUACAUUAUAUGAGGUAUCCACAUGCACCGAAAAAAUUUAGUUAAGAUAAUCAAAUUUAAAAAAUGGAUAUAAAUCUCGAUUUCCAAAUUUUCUCCAUAUUAUGUAAUUAAAAAAAUUAGUUAAGAUUUGGGAAGAUAGAAUGUAAGUAAUAUCUACCUAGAUGCAUCGGAAACCCAAAACAAUCGAUAAAUUGAAAAAAAAAAUCAAUAUUUUAGCGAAAUCUCAAUAUCGGGAUGGACAUGUUUCAACAAUUUUUAAAAAAGAGUGAUAGUUUUAUACGACAAAACUUAAACGACGUUAUUUCUGACAAUUCUCCCUCUAUUUGUUUUAGUUUAAUUUAUGUGAGAUGGAAAGAAAAAAGAUGAAGUGGUUUUUUCAGAAAGUAAACAUUGAGUAAAGUUGAAGGAAAUUAGUUGCUAUUUGCAUUUUCAGGCAACUCAAAAACCAAAGUAAAUCCAUUUAAUCAAAAAUUAAAUUUAAGUUCAAAUGUAAUUAGACAUUGUAAUUUGUAAUUAGAAGAUUUAUUUGACCUUAAAUUUGUUUUCUAUAAAAUAAAAAAUAAAUAAGUUUCAAGGAAUGCGAAAUGAAACCAAAUUAUCACAAUCCCUUAACACCUAAUUGUACCAUUUUUCAAAUUAAAAAAAAAAAUCCAAUACUCAAAAUCUUCUAACGUUUAAAAAUAUCUCCAUCUUUUUUUUUUUUUUUUGAUUUAAUUCCUAUGCUUUAAAUUUGUAAUAAUUUCGUCUUUAAAUUUUAGCAUGAAAAAUAUGGAUGAACUUUGUGAUAUUUAUCUUAUCAUCUAUGGACAUUUUGAAAUGUUAAUAGAUGUCUUUAAAAACAUAUUUAUGAACUAAAAUUGAUAAAAUGUUUUUAGGGUGAUUUGAUGAAUUUUUUUUAUUGCAAGAAAUAGGUUGUUACAAAUUUAAAAAUAUAAAGUUAAUUAUCAAAUACUAAUAUUUAUGAACUAAAUGAAAACAGAUUUGGAGAUAUAAAAACUAAAUUGUUAUAAAUUAGAGUUAUGUCAUUCAAAUAAUACUUUUAAACUACUCUCAAUUCUCAUGGAUUGAAGUAUGCUUUCUUUCAAAACUUUAAUGAAUUAUCAUAAACAACUAAAAUCUAUUUGAUACACGUUUUUAAAAGUACAUAAUAACUGAAUUGAUUGGGUUUGUAUUAUUAACUUUGAAUUAUUAAAAAAGUAAAAUAGGUUUAGAAGUUAAGAGCAGAAGAAGGAAAUGUAAUAUACAAAGUUUGAUGGUUAAUUUGGUAAGAGUUCCAAGAUGAAAAUUGUUUAAAAGGAAAGAAGUUAGUUUAGAGAGAGUGCAGUGAUAGUGUUGGGAGAGUCGGCAUGUCGAUUACUCAUCAUGCGGCAGUCUGAUUGAAACGAUAUGUGGUAAUUACAUAGUUAUUAUUAUGAAUAUGAAUAUGAAUAUGAAUAUGAAUAUGAAUAUGAAUGAUAUUGAAUUGAGAAGAAAAGAAGAAUUGAGUUGGGGAAAAGGUUGAGUCCAUUCCAAUUCUCACGCCGGCUUUUCUCUUUAAUUGCCGCUAUAAUUGAUGGAUUGUUCAAUGUUUUUUCCUUUUCUACUUUGAAAAUUUCUAAACAAACAAUAAAUGCAAAAAGAAGAAAAAAAGAAAAAUCAAUUCCAAAUUCCAAAACCAGUUGAGUUGACCCAAUUGUCUCCUUAAUUUUAUUCACAUCUAAUAAAAAAUUAAAACUUUUCUAAAGAAUCAAUCAUCAAAUUCUGGGUUUUUCUCCCCUUUUUCAAACAUAAUAAGAAAAAUGAAAAAUUUUGAUAUUGAUUGUUUGUUUCGUUGGUGAUGACUGAGAAGAAGCCGUAUUAAUCUACACUCUUUGCCUUUUACUUUCACCGUUUUUUUGGUUAUGCCUUUUCCUUUUGCUCCAAAUGAUUACAAGCCAGUUGUCGAAUUAAUACCAUUAACGAUCAAGAUCAUUCCCAUCCCCCCUUCUCUUAACGGUGUUAGAUGCGUCUCCCCAUUUUGCUUUUUCACCAAAAAUCCGAUUCGACCCGGCUUAAAGCCUUUGAAUUUGGAGUUUUGGGACUUGGGAUUGAAUUGGAUUGGGAAUUCAAUAUUUGGGUUUGAUUAGUUUUUGACUCUUUUUCACAACUUUACCUUCUUCUUCUUCUUCUUCUCUUCUCUUCUUCUUCUUCUUCUCUUCUCUUCUUCUUCCUCUUUUGUGUGUUGUUUUAUUUUUCUGGUAUUUAUGUUAUGAAUGUCCUAUUCUUGUUCGUUUCUUUUUUGCGUUUCCUUUACUGUUUUUCCUUUCUGUGGUUUCCUCCAUUGCAAACCAAGCUUCCUUUCCAGCUUGCAGAGAGGUCCCUUUGUACUUGACGCUUUGCCUUACAAUACCCACCAACCAUUUUCAUCCACCUUUUCUUUUCUGACCCUUUAAAUCCUCUCCAAUUAUCUUAUUCAAUUCUCUCUCUUUCUCUCUCUCUCUCUCUCUCUUUCCCUUCUUCCCUUCUUAGUUCUUCAACCCCUUUCCUCUUUCUAAGGAUUAGAUUUUUGUUUUUGUCUGUGCUCUUCUCCUCUUCUAUUUUAUCAUUCUCAGAAUUUCUCUUUGGCCCACUAUCCCUACUUGUUAAUUACUCCUUUACUAUUAUAUCUUUUUGGGGCUUUGGAUUUGUUGGGGUUUGAGUUUAUUUCAGACAACAUUUUGGCCUAUCCCUCCAUGCCUUUUGGGUCUCCAUUGGCUAAACACGAUUCGCUUUGUUUCCCUUUCUGGGUUCCUGGAGGAAGGGGCAAAUCUGGGUCUAUCUUUGAUCACUACAUGAGGUAAAUCCCUUGUUCUUUAAAUCACUGUCUGUUACACGAAUUACAUUGCUCUUGUCUCUUGUUUGGAUCGAGGAAUUGUGUUUUUUUGUGGUAUUUUCUUCUUUUGUCUAGACCUGAAAUUUGAACUUCAUAAUUGGUUGUGCGAGAAAUUAGGUUUCGGAAAUGUUUCUUGGGAUUUUGUAUGGAAGGCUUUUGCUAUGGUUCAACUUCAAUAGUCUAUCCAGAUGGAUAAGAAUUGAUGAUAUAAAACUGUGUUCAAUGAAAAGAACUCAAUAUUGAUUUCGGCUCAGCUCAGUUGAAGUAUUUGUAGUGGUGUUUAUAAAGAUCUCAGUGAGACAUGGGGCAUUGUGAUGGUUGUUGUUGCUUCACCUUGGAGUUCUUGGUCAAAGAACUUCUUUACUCUUCACUUCCUUUAUAAUAAUCCCUGAGUUGGUGUAUAUCUUCUGUAAUCUUGUUCUUAUCAAUGCAACUGCUUGUUCUAAUUAAAAAAGAUUACUGAUGUUUGGUUGAUUCUCUAUUUCUAGGUCCUUAAUCCUUAUAUCAUACAUGAAUUUCCAGAUGGGAAUGUGUUGAAAAUUAAGAGGUUGAACUUGAAGUUUCCUGUGGCUUGGAAAUUUGGAACUUUAGUAUACAGUGGAUCAGAUAUGGCGUCUGGGAGUUCAUUGAAUGAUCAUUUAUCCAAGAAGACUUCAUUUUGGGGAUUGUCAUUAUGGGUUUUGAUCUGCAUUUGCAUUGGUGCAUUUAUAAUUUUGAUUCUUGGUUUGUUAUCUAUGUGGAUCCUGUUUAGAAAAAAAUCUAAAAGAUCUAUGGACAAAUUCCCUAAUUUUAUAAAAGAUAUCAGGAUAGAUCAGGUUGGGAUUCAAACUCCCAAUGACCACCCUGAACAUAGACUUCUUUCAGUUGAUGUCAAAAGAAAUGAUGAAAAUUCAGAAGUAAGGGCUGUAACAAAAUCAAGUGAACCUGAUAACAAUAGCCAAUGCAGCUCCACUUACCAACAUGAAAAAGCUGGCAAUUCACAAUCUGGGGAAGAAGGAAGCUCUGGAAAUGCUCGUAAGCAGGCUUCAAGGUCGUAUGGAGGAUUUGGAGGAGUUGUGCCACCGUCUCCUCUUGUUGGCUUGCCAGAAAUUUCACAUCUUGGGUGGGGCCACUGGUUCACUCUCAGGGAUCUAGAGCUUGCAACUAAUCGUUUUUCCACUGAAAAUAUUCUUGGAGAGGGAGGAUAUGGGGUUGUGUAUAAGGGCAGACUCAUUAAUGGCACUGAGGUUGCAGUGAAAAAACUUCUCAAUAAUCUGUAAGGAUUUACUGUUCAAAGAACAACAUUGUUCUUUCCUAAUAUGGUACUUUUGGAAAAUUUGCUUAUUGACUUGAAAUGCAUUUAGGGGUCAGGCAGAGAAAGAAUUUAGAGUUGAAGUGGAAGCUAUUGGCCACGUUCGGCAUAAGAAUCUUGUCCGACUGCUGGGCUAUUGCAUAGAAGGAGUUCAUAGGUAUUACAGAAUUCAUCAUCAUCUAUUAUUAGUCUUCAUUAAAAAAAUACCAGAACCCUUUUUGGGGUUGUUAAGAUAUAUAUACAUGUUUUUCAUGAGUCGUAUUUUACCGUUCCAUUUCUCUAUGUUUUCUGAAAUUUGCUUAUUGCUCUGAAAGCUAUUAGAACAGUUGACUUUACCCGUUUUCUUCGUGUAGGAUGCUAGUAUAUGAAUAUGUGAACAAUGGAAAUCUAGAACAGUGGCUACAUGGAGCCAUGUGCCAACACGGCACACUUACUUGGGAGGCUCGCAUGAAGGUGCUUCUUGGCACUGCUAAAGCGUAAGUCUUCAAAAUAUAGCCUGCCAAUUGCAAGGAUAGUUCUUAUAGUAGUAAUAUGUUUUUUAAUUGAUUUAUUCUCAAGUGCUGUGUUUGGUGCAUUAGCAACUAACAUACAUAAGACAAGAGGACUAUAGGCAGGUUUAACAUAGAUUCAUGUAUAUUAACCUUAUGCAGGCUUGCGUAUUUACAUGAAGCAAUCGAGCCAAAAGUUGUUCACAGAGACAUAAAAUCAAGCAACAUUUUGAUUGAUGAUGAGUUCAAUGCCAAAGUUUCUGAUUUUGGAUUGGCCAAACUCUUGGGCUCGGGAGAGAGUCACAUCACAACUAGAGUUAUGGGAACAUUUGGGUAAAAUGGAGCUCAUUUCAUUGAGAUUUUACCAUCCCUUACUAGGAGCCGUAGUAUAAAUUUAUCUUUUACAAAUUUCAGGUAUGUGGCGCCAGAAUAUGCAAAUACAGGCUUGUUGAAUGAAAAGAGUGACAUUUAUAGCUUCGGUGUUCUCUUGCUAGAAGCAAUUACAGGGAGGGAUCCUGUGGAUUAUGCACGUCCUUCUAAUGAGGUAUCUAUUAUUUUUAGACCCCUUUUUUUACUCUACCCUAACUUGAUGGUUGUGCAUGUCAAUAUCUUGGUAACCUGCCGGAAUUCCUAUUUUACAUCUUUGAAUGCGGUUAUUUUGCUGAUUCCUUGCUAAGAAGCACGGACAUGGAUAUGAAACACAGUCAAGACACGACACAGACUUAGUGACACACCAUUUUUUUAAAAUCUAGGACACGGCAAGGACACGUUUACUAAAAAAUUCAUUUUAAAAAAAUAUAUGCCAUCUUUAUAGUAAAAAAAACUCAUAGUAAAUGCAUUGAUGCAUUUAUAUUCUUAGAAGACUUAGCUUGGUGUAUUCUACACUCAAAAGUUAUAAUUAUUGUCAUAUACGUGUCUUUUUAGUCUACUUAAAGAGUGUUCUAUGUAAGUCCAAUGCCAUUUGUUGCACCAACAAGUAUCCGAUAGGUGUCCACCAAGUGUCGGAUUGUCCAAGUGUCUGAUAGACACAUGUUCGACACAGACACACUAUCCAAAGUAAAGUGUCCAUGCAUCUUAGAUUCCUUGGAGAGAUUUAUCUUGUACUACCAGAUGCUUUCUUUGUACUCGCCUGUAUCUGUUUCACAAUCCCAUAUCCUUACUGUUCAAUCAAUCUUCAUUUCUUAAGGAAAUAGCUUCUGGCGAUAUUUUUAGCUACUGCACGCAUUUCAUAAAGUAUUCUAGUUAUUAGUUAUAUUGAUUGCUUGUUGAAACCCUGUGAAUUGCGUUUUUGUCAGGUUAAUCUGGUUGAGUGGCUAAAGAUGAUGGUAGCAACAAGGAGAGCAGAGGAAGUUGUGGACAUGAACCUAGAGAUCAAGCCAACUACUCGUGCUUUAAAACGUGCCCUUCUUGUUGCUCUUAGGUGUAUUGAUCCUGAAUCAAUCAAGAGACCCAAAAUGAGUCAUGUUGUAAGAAUGCUUGAAGCCGAUGAAUUUCCACUCCACGAGGUAUGAAAAUCAUUAUCUUGUUCUGUGAUUGCAUCAUUGGUUGUUGUCCCUUUGUCAUUUGUCUAAACUUCAAAGCAUUUCACUCAUUUGUUGGCUGGCUCUACAAUAAUGAUUUUCUUUAAAAUAACAUGCUUCCGAUCUAGCUAGGUGCCACUUGUUCAGUUUUACUAAAAGCAAAAAGUCUUGUCUAAUGCAUUGGGUACAAUAUGAUUCAAGUUUCUCUGAUUUCACCAUGUGAGAAAUUUGUAGUUUUAACUCCUUUUCCAAAACCUCAUGACAAUUUCUGUUUCCUUAUCAUUUAAAGAGAAUAUUAUAGGACAAUGGCUAUUAAAUUUUUGUGCAACUGCAUUCAAGUCUCUACUGUGACCACAUUUUUGGACACUUCUGCUGGAACUUGUUAGAUGUAUAUACUUUAUUGUGGUCCUAUGUUGGCAUAGUUGUGUUGGCAGCUACGUCGUCAAGCUUUCUUUAUUACACAGUCAAAACACUUGACGAUGUGUGUUCUGCUACAGAACCUGAGUCAUUCGAGUCUCCAUCAAUCCAUUAUUAUGUUACUAAAACAUCUCAAGAUGUUUCAUUUCUUCACCAUGCAAAACUCCAUCCUAAACAAAUCAUGGUUCAGAAACCAAUUUGAUUUAGCAGUGAAGUGUUCGCUAAUGGUUCAAAGAUACAGUGGGAAAGUUCAUCUUUUACAUACUACUUUGCAGGAUAGGAGGAGCCGAAAAAGCCGAUCAAUAAGCUUGGAGAUUGAGUCAAUGAAAGAAAUAUCAGGUUCAGACCAGACGGGUGGGCCGUCCGAGAGCCAUAAAUCAGAGACAAGCCAUGAAUAGAACUGACAAAAGCAUGAGCAUAGUAAAUUAUUGCACCUCCCAUGUUCAUGUCUAUAAAAAAAAAAGUUGUUUUUCUAGAGAGAAGUUUGAAUUGAUGGUGGUCUAGCAUCUGCUGUUUGCUCAUUUCAGGAGUACUCUUAGAGUUCAUGAAAUAGUGAUGAAAAGGAGAGAGGUCCAACAAAAGAGCCAUUUUCAUUUUCCUCACACAAGAACUAAAGGUCUGAGAGAGGCAGAGAGAUUUAGAGAGAAUGGGAGAGAGAUUGUACAGGCUUGUCUGAAGGACCACCGGACAUGGCUGAGCUGGUUUGGCUUUAAUUUACAUCAUUGUAAUUUCGUCUCUUGUUUUUCAACCUUUUUUUUCUCCUUUUUGAGCGUCUCUUUGAUUGCUGCUGUUCUGUGCAUGGCGACCAUAAUUCAAAUCCUAUUUAUUUCUUUUCUUUUUCACCAAUAGAGAAUGAGUUUCUGGUUGGUUCUGCAUUGACCAUUCCCAUGCUUUUGGCUAUCAUUACACUUUCCUCGUUUCUCAUCUUUCUACAAUAUCGAUUGAAGGGUCUUAAAUUUGUAUUUAUGUUACUAUUUUGAUCCUAGAAUUUAGAGGAGUGUGUUCUACGAACUCUUUUAACUCUCCUAGUGUCUUUUGAUCUAUAAAUAUAACAUUCUUUUUGGUAAUAGUUUGCUCAUUCUCUGUUGGUUGAGAUAGCUAAAUUUGUUAGUGAAUUAAGUAAAUCUCUAUGAUCAAGGCACGUUUUAUAUUUUCUUUGUUUGUCGAUGAUUUUGACUUGCUCCCUGUUGCAGCAAAAGCAUUAAUAAUAUGUUCAUUGGUAUGAGGUAAUCGCUUUCAAAGAAGAGGAAAACUUGAUGUUGUGAAAUGGAGAAAUUGAUGGGUAAAGAGUGAAAAAAAUAAAGUAAAAAUCAUGUGAAUUUCUAGUACUACCAGAGGGUGAUGAUGAUGAUGAUAAUAAAUGAUGAAAAGGAAUGGAGGUUGGUUUUGUUUGAUUGAUUGAUUAGUGAAAGUGAAGUCAUCUCUUAGUGAAGUAAUGUUGUGAAGUUAAAGCAAGAAAAGAAAAAAAUAGUUAUAAACUGUGUUUGCAUUAUAUUUGCCAUUGGUCAGAGGCAACCUCAAUUUUCAAAGUUUUGUUGUUUGGCAAAUCAAUUAAUGUCCAUCAUUACUUUCAUUUUCAUCCUUUCUCUUCCUUUCCCUUUUUCCUCCAUCUCUCAGUUUUCAUGUUUCUUCUUGCAUUUAUUACUAUUUUUCUUCUUCUUUUUAGAUUAAAUUGAUAGUGUAUUUUGAAUUAAUUUCUUGAAAAAUAAUGCUUUUUGAAUAAAAAUUCAUUUUUCUCAAGGUUUGCGAAAAUUCUAAAAUACAUUUUUUUUUGUUUUAUGAAGAUCGUUAGUUUUUGUUUACAAAAAAAGUUAAUAAUAAUAAUUUAUUGGUCUUUCAUUUCAUACCUCCCUUCCACUUAUUUUUCUUCUCUUUGAUACUCUCUUCUACUUUCCUUCUUUCUUUAUUUAAUAUCUAAAAUCAACAAAAGAAAGGAAAAUAAUUGGAGUAUGUAGGGAUCUUACAGACUUACAAUGUUUCAACCAUAUUUAUAUUUAUAUUAGAGACUGAAUAUGAAUAUACGUUCCAAUUUCAACACAAAAUAAACCAACACCAUAUAUUUUGCAUUAGAUUUUUCCCUUAAGCCAUCAAUUUCUCUUUUCGGCCUAACUUGAAUAAACUCAUUUUGGUCCCAAGUCUUUAAAAAAUAGGAUUAAUUAAUUUCAUACAUUUAUUUAAAUAAUUAUGACAUUUUAUAUUAAAAGAAUUUUUUCUAAAAGUAAUACCCUCUUAAAAAAAAAUCUAAUUUAAAUUAUCGGUUGAAAAUCAAACCAAAAAAAAUUUUAAAUGACUUUUUAACCUAUUUUUAAAAACUCAAGAACUUAAAAAGUAACAAUUAAAAAAAGUAAAAAUCAAGUGAGGUAUUCUUAUAAAGAUGAGGAUAAAAAAUGUUUAUUUCUUAAAUCUCACGGAUCAAAUGCACAUCUUUCAAAACUUUGGAGAUUAAAAAGAGGUUUUUUUUUUUUCUUUUAAGAUAUUAAUAGGAGUUAGGGAACCAGUUCAUAGUUGUGAACACAUAUAGAUGUUAAUUAAUCUCAGCACCCUUUAGAAAUAACUUGUUUUUACCCUUUAAAUGUUUUAAUAAAAAUUUUAAAUAUAAAAAUAGCUUCUUUUUUUGUUUGCUAAAUUACAUAAAAAAUUCCUAAAUUUUGUACUCUAUAUAAAAAAUAUUAUUGUACUUUGAAAAGUUUUAAAAUAUUCUUAAGAACUACCCUUUAGUUUUGGAUGGGAAUCAAUGUCUGUGUUAAAAAAACACUUUUACUUUUAUCUUUUAUCUCUCUCUCCUCUUCUUUUAAUCUAAUUAUCCCUUUUGUUAAUGGUUCCACCUUUGUUUAUCUCAAAACAAAUAAGUAAAGCUGCCUACUUAGUUUAGGGUGUAUAUAAGCUAUUCCAAGAAAAAAACGUGAAUAAUGAAAAUACCAAAGACGUAAGGAGAACAUUCGAAACUCGUAAUUGCAUUGAAAUGAAAUGUGUAAUGUAACAAAAGUUCAUAUUUAGAUUGUCCAUUUUGUGCUUGAAUUGUUAUUAAAAAAUUCAUUCUAUUUCAACAUCUUUCAAUUAAAUUAUAUUUUCAAUCGUUUUCAUGUUUUACGAACACAUUUUUGUUCCGCUCUCAAUUGGGCAUGCAUUCCAACACCUAUUUGGUUACAGUAAUUUUGAUUACAUUACAAUAUGUUGAUAACGUAGAGUUAUUUUCAAGAAUGUAUUGAAAAUUUAUGAUUGUGUUAAAAGAUUUUUUAAAAAGAAAAAUUAUGAUAUUUUUGAAGAGUUGAGAAGCAGUUUAUACACAAAUUAGAAAGUCCCAUAAUAUCAUUAUGAUAAUUUAACCCUUUUAUUUCAAUGAUUGUUAGUCCCCUACACUUGUAAGCAUAAUGGAAAAAGGAAUAAGAAAACAAAUUGAAAAAUAGAGAAAUAUUGGGUAUCACAAACAUGUGGAGAUUCUAAUUGACACAAAUCAUCAUAUAAAUCCCAACUCCACCACUCACCACUUUCAAUUUCAACCCUCUCUCCAUUAUUUUCUAUACUAAUUUCACUUUAUUUUUCAAUUAAUCCCCAUUUAAUUUAUUUUCUUUACCCUGUUUCUAUUGUUUCUUUUAAGUAAUACAACCAUUAUACUAUAAUCUUCUAUUGAUACACAAAAAGAAAAGAACAUACAGGGUCGACUUAAUCUAACUUAACCUUUUUAUUUGAAAAAAAAGUUUAAAUAUAAAAACAAAAACUUGAUAAACUAAUGAAAACUGAGCAUUACAAGGUAAUCUUCCCACUUCUAAUAAAACCCUGAUACUAAUAGUGGGCAUGAUUGUAGAUAAUAUUUAAAAUCUUCUCACCCCCUAGUUAAUAUAUUUUAAAUAAAUUAGAAACAAAAAUUCCAAAUCAUUGCUUAAUCUUUUUCCCUAUUGCACCUACACUAUAUAUAUGUACAUUAUCCACAUAGUUAGAUGCAAUUUGAAAUGUAGGCUUAUCUAAAUAACUAUUUGAUAUCUUUUCAUUUUUUUAUUUAUAAAUUAUUUAUUCUCUACGUUAUCAACAUAAAACUCCAUCAUCCAUAUUAUUUAUUUAAUUAACUACAUAUCCUUCAUCCAUCAAAACUAUAAAAAAAAAAAUAAUGAAAAACACAUAAAUUAAUUCAAUAUGGUUCAUCAUAACUAUAGUACAUUGUCUUAAUUAAGAACAAGAAAUGAGAUAUUAGAGGUAAGAAGGAGGAAUUCACUAAAUUAGGCUAACUAUUAUAAAGCCAAAUACACAUAUAUAUAAUUAAUAAUAAUUAAGGAAAGAGAGAUUAAUAAUUUAAUUUGAUGGGUGUUGGUUUGAAUUAUUAAAUGAUGGAUUAUUGAUAAAAUCUUGGAACAGGCCGCCAUACUGAUAUUGUUGGUGCAGAUUUUCACAGAAGGACUCGGCGGAGAAGAAGUUGGGCGACGGGGGAAACAAGGGCGGAGUGACGGAGGGCGGCAAGACUCCGGUGGGGUUAUGGCCACGAAGUGUAAUUGGACAAUAAUGGUUGUGUUUGCCUUCAUAUGUUGUUAUAACAAAAGAUGGAUCUUCUGAUGAUCUUUCUACUCUUUUUUUCACACUGCAAUUUUGACUUGUGCAUUUAUAAUAACUUCUGCAUACUCCAACAAAGAUCGCUUCAGUUUCAUUUUAGUUUUUUUUAUCUUUUUCAAACUUAAGUUUAUGAACCCAAUUCUUUUUUUUAAGGAAAAAGAAAGCAAUAUCAUUAUUGUUCUUCUUAUGUUACUUUCUACCUUCAAUUAAAUCUCUAUCUUAAUAUAUUAUUAUCUCUAAGUUAGUUCGCUAAAUUAAAAUGAUGCUCGUAUUUAACAUUUAGUAGCUAGUAGGGGAUAUACAUAAAGUCAUUAAUUUUGUUAAAAUUAGAAUAAAAGUGAUGAUCAAAAUUGUUUUUAUGUUUUCUAAAAGUAGUGGACUAAAAUAAACUAUUGAAAGUUUGAAAACCAGAAUAAAGUUGAAACAUGGGAUGCUAGAAUUUAAACAACGAAGUAAUUUUAGAAACAAAUUAGGAUUCAAACCUAAAAGUAAAAUGCAUGUGCCAUUGAAACUACAAAAGACAAUAGAAAAAUGAGUAGAAAAUCCAUAUAAAUAUUUCUAGGGUUACAAUAUCUCUCAAUUAGACCACUGUUCUUAAUUAGAUUAUAUGUCACAAAUCUGAUUAUUGUUUUAUAUAGCUCUCUGUCUAAAUAACUUAAGAUAUAAUUCAACUUAUUAGUUUAUGUUAACGGAAGUUUUUUUUUCUUCUAACUGGGGGUUUUAAUGAGGUAAACAAGAGUGAAUGAGUUUGGAGAAAAGAAAGGAAAUUAACCUUGGAAAAGGGCUGUUUUUGACUGCUUUCUGACCGUAUUUUCUCCAUCUAUAUCCAUCUUCAAGAUUAUCAAUUUCGGUUUUGGUCAAGAAGGCGAAUCGGGGCCCUUUUUCUCUUUUCUCCUUCUUUUUUCCUUCAUCCCUAUACAAUCCAUAUCAUAUUAGAUAAUAGUAACACGAUGUUUCAUCUCAAAAUUAUAGCGACGAUGUUUCAUCUCAAAAUUAUAGCGACAUGUAUUUACAAACAUUAUAAUUUUCCAUAAUUUUUUCAUGGUAGGAUUCUUAAUAUAUAUUAUCUCAAGACAAAAUAUGAGUAUAUGAGUCAUGAAAGAGUACUUACAAUGGACAUUUAAUUUGGUAAUAUAUCCAAUUAGUUAUAAUUCUAUUAUCUGAGAAAUAAUUUCAUCUUAUAACAUUUUCUUAAAUAAAUAUUACCCAUCUCAAUUUUCUUCUAUAUUCAGAUUUUAAAAAAUAACCUAUAGUGUUGACCUCUUUUGAAUUUUAUCUUGUAAAUUUGUUUUUUGUUUUUAACAAAUGAUAAAAAAAAUCAUUAGAUGUGUAACAUCUCAUGGAACUAGAUUGACGCACCUUUUAAAACUCACACCAUACUCACACCAUACUACAAUAACAUUGAGCAAAAGAGAAGUAAAAGAAGAAAAGUACACAAUAACAUUUAGCAAAAGAGAAGUAAAGAAGAAAAGUACAGUCUUGAGAGCUAGAGAAGCUCUCUCAACAACAUAACAUUCAUCAAACCCUAUCUAUUUCUUUUGUUUGUUGAUCAUUGACUAUUUUGCAUAAAUUGAAAAAUUAACAAUUAAAUUUUAAAAAGUGGAAAAGCAACUCUGAAAUCAAGCUCCGAAAAUCCUAUGGAAGGAGUUAGUUUAGAGAGAAGACACCUUACACUUUCUUGCUAUUUUCUCCCUUUUUAUCAUCAAACCCUUUCACCUCUCCGCUCUUGGAAGAAUCACCACCACCCGCGACAACCUCAUCGGACGAACACGUAGUAGAGGAACAAUUCGGUGUUGAUGGGUGCUCACCAGUCACCACUGACGACAGAUCUCGACCGAGACUUGAUGACUUCUUCAAAGCAUCGUCGACCGAAGAAAUAACCUCGGACGACGAGCAUGACAUCUCAAUGGGAGUAGAGAAGAUGUUGUGGUAGUCAUAUUGAGAUGAGGCAUGUGAGAAAUCAGAAUAAAACCCCACACUAGAAGGAGCAAUAUCAAAAGCUUCAUAAUAAGGGUUUGUCAAAGGAGGAGGAACUUCAAAGGGUUUUUGAUGAUGAAAGUUGUGAGUGAAAGGAUCAAAUUGUGGGUAAUAAGGAUGAUCCUCUUCCUUCUCAUGGUCAUGACCUUCAUUUGACAUUCAGAGAAAUUGGAAUUAGAAAGAUUAAAACUAGAAAGAAGAGAGGCUGAAUUUAGAUCUUUCAAUUUACUUCAUCUAUGAUGUUUUUUUUUCUUUUUUUUUUUUUGGGUGUGUAAAAAAGUGAACUUUGCCUUAGAUCUUUGUCCUAUUAUACACACAACUAGAAGGGAUGAAGUUAGAAAUAUGUCUCGAAUUGGAUGGUGGAUUUUUGCUUAUUAGAUCUACUUCUUAAUUUCUAAACGGUGAAUUUUCUAAUAUAUAUAUAUAUAGAUAUAUUAUAUAAUAGAAUAGAAUAAUAUUAUUUCAUUCACUUUUAAUUAAUUAAUGGAAAUAUUAACAAAAAGAACUUUAUUGGGGUCAAACUUAUAUUAGUUUAGUACUCAAUUUAAAAUUGAGCUUCCAUUUGCUUUAGAACUAAUUUAAAAUUGGUGAAAUUAAUACACCAACUAACCCAAUCAUCAAAAAUGUAGAAACAUACUACAUAUUUUAAUGUAAACGUGAAACUCUUCAUCAUAAGAUUUCAAAGUUUUCCAAAACAUUUCCACCUUAAUUAAGUCUGCUAUCUAAAACUUUGUAGACCAAAACAAAGUUUCACUAAACCCUUAAGAGAGACUGUGUCAUAAAUAACCUUCCAUUCUUCUUGUUUGUACUUCUUUUUCUCCUCAAGAAAAUAAAAUUACUUCUCCUGGUAGCUAUCCAUAAAUGUAAAAAAACAUAUCGUUAAUGAACUGCAUCAAAUUUUUAUUGUUCUUUAUACUUUGUUUGUCGAUUAGUAUUCUUGUCACAACCCUAUGUACUAACCCUAUAUAUAGUACAUGAGAGGAAGCGUAUUUCACUCAUUUUUAUCGCUAUCAAUCAUAUUUAAUUUAGGUAGAAGAAGUCAAUAUUUAUGUUAUGAAUAAUGGAAUAAGAAUAUGAUUUAGGGGUCAAAAUUUUCAGCUUUUUAAAUACUAAAUUCUCGAGUUAGGUAGAGAUGUGUGUCUGCCAAAUUUACCUAUAAUGUACCAAGACGUCUUCAUUACAUUGUUUCUUUUGUUUCUUUUUUAAGUUAAAUUUUAUUUUUUUUCCUUCAUAAAGUUCAUACAACAAAAGAAUCUACAAACCAAUAAUUAAACUGUUCCACCAUCACGCUUAUGGAUUGGACUUCGAUAGAAUUUGAAUGAUCAUUCUUUAAUCUUUAUGCCUGCAAUUCUCUCCAUUCUUCCUUACAUUUUUGUACUUUUUUUCCCAACUUUCAUUUGCUCAUCAUUUGCUAUAUGAGUUUGUGGUUUUUAUUUAUAUACAUUUUGCAUACUGUUCUAGUACAUAUUAUUUAUCUAUCUCUCUUUUCACUUGUCCCUGUUGAAUUUAUGUAUAUGAGUGUGUUGAUGGGGCUUGGCAUGUGCGGGUCGUGGUGAUAUUGCACGAAAAGGUAGAUCGGUGGGAUUUAGCACGCGUAGGAUGAAAAUGGUAUGUGUGUUAAAUGUUUUGAAUUCCUUUUUAGUCCAAGGAUUAGAAGAAUCUAUAUAGUUGCAUGGGAGAAUGGUAUAUGUGUGUGUUAGGAAUGCCUCUCUAGAAUUUGUAAUCUAUUUCUCUAGUAAUAAAUUGUUUCUUUGUUAACCGACAUAACUCACAAACUAUCGAGGAAUUACAUAUGUUUAUUUUUUAUUAUUUAUGUUUAUUUUUUUAACUUUGAUGGUUGAAUUCCAUAUAACAACUAUGGGUAAGUUAUGAACUUUUAAACCUUAGAUGUUAUUUCAUAAUAUUAAACUAUUACUAGUUUGAUAUCUACUCUUUUCUCUUUUUUUCAUAUGGGUAAGUUAAUUUGGCUCCAUAUUUUAUAAAUAAUGCCUUAGGAAAAAGAAAAUAAAAGGAAGAAAAGAAAAAGGGUUGUAGAUUCAUCUCAUUUAGUGCACAAUCUUCCACUUUUUACAAAACAGCACUCAUUUGAGAUAAUGAUCUAAUGGAGGAAAUAAGAUAAGGAAUAACUAUGUACUAAGAAAAAGUACAAAACCUAAAAGACCAAAUUUCGAUUAAUUAUGACAUGAAAAAGGACACAAUUAUAUGCAUGGAUGAGCUAAUAUGAAAUUGAAGUGAUGAAAUGAUAUGAACCAACAUAUCUUAUAAACUAUACAAAAUCUUUCUUCAAACUAUAUGAUGUCUUCUUUUUUUUUUUUUUUUUUUUAUAAUAUAUUGCUACUUCUCGUAGAUCCUUUUACACACAUCAAAGAGAUAGUGAGGGAAUGAACAAAAACUACAAAAGAAAAUUAAGUAUAUAAGUAAAACAAUAAUAUAGGUCUUUCAUUAAUACACAUGACCUAAUUUUGAGUAGAGCUUAAAAAAGAAACCAUACAAAUUUAGGGUUAUAUAAUUAUAGAUAUAUAGGUGGAGGAGAUGAAGAACAUAAUGUAGCUUUUUGGUGAUUGAUGUUGAUAGAGAUAUGGAAACAUUAUAGAAAGAAUAAUUAAUUUUGAAAAAAUAAAUGGGGAAAGGGGUGAGAUAUUCAUGAUACAAUAGAAACAAUGGUAUAUGUAGUAGCAUCAUCAUCGUGAUUGAAGAAAAAUGAAGAAUAUUGCAUAUAAAACCAAAGAGAGGCAAUAAUAAUAAUAACAAUAAUAAUAAUUUGUCCAAUGUGGGGGUGAUUGAAAUGGGAUGGAAUAAUUUUUUUUUUUUUUUAAAGUAGGGAGUUUUGAUGGAGAAGUCACCAAAAAAAGAGAUACCCACAUGGGAUGUGAAGAAAUAAAAUCAAUAAACCAGCUGUGGAAUAGCUUGACAUUAUUGACUUUUUUUUUUUUUUUUUGCCUAUUUUAAGGACUUUAUUAUAUAUCACAUAUACUUUAAUAUAUUAUUUUUAAAAUUAAAAAAAAAAAACUCAUGGGGUUUCUUGCCUGCAAACUGCAACUUUUCCAAUCGUGACAGAUUUUUAGUCAAUUGGGGGCAGUUAUAAGUUAGGUUUGUGACAUAUAUAAUAAUAAUAAUAAUAAAAGUAUAAAUUUAUAGUUUCUAAAAUCUACCUAAUUAGAUUUAGAUUUGUGUAUAUAAUAUGUGCAUUGCUUUCUUUUUCACGUCAUGCAUUUAUGAGCAUUUUCAUCAAAGUUAGCCCUUUCAACUUUUUAAAAUAUAAUCAUAAAUUAGGAGAUUCAUGGAGAAGAAAAAACUAUAGAAUAAAUUUGAAUUCUAAAAACUUAGGUGAAGAAAAAAUUUUGAAAUUGAAAGAUUGUCAGUCAAAACAUUGAUUUAGGUACAUACUUUUAAGUGAGAAAGAGAGGUAGACAUUUAAAUUUAAAUUAAAAAACUCUAAUAAUAAAUAUUUAACAAAUAAAACAAAACCAAAAUCAAAAUCAAAAGUUUAAGUAAAAUGUGUGUAAAUACCCCUUAGUCCUACCCCAUAAAUGUAUCACUAUCAAAUGUUGUGGUCAACUUUUACUUGCCCACAUCCUUUUAGCAUUCUUGGCCACGUCCCAGUGCUGUAUUAAUCAAUACUUUCUUCUAUCACUAUGACUACACACUUCCAUCUUUUAACUAAUGAAAAAUAGGGUAGUAACUGGUAGGAUUACAAAUAACAAAAUCCCAACUUUUUAAAAAGUUUAGACUAUAACUUUAAAAAGAAUUAGAGUUCCUAUGCCUUUUCUUCUUCUUGCUAUAAAUAAAGAACAGUGGUAUAUAUAAACUUAAAUUUAUAAAUAAAAGAAAACAUUGUGUCAUAUAAGGGGAAUAUUUUUGAAUGUAUAGGGAAUUGAAACUUGAAAAUAUAAUUAAAAAAAAAUUAAACGAAAGAAGAAUGAUAAAAAUUGUAAAGAUAUAUUUGUGGGAGUGGAAAUUUCAAAGUCAGAGAAAGAUGCAGUCUUCGAAACAGCCAUCUAACCACUAAAGUUUAUUUAUUUUUUUCAAUAAAUAAUCAUAAUAAUAAUACCAAAAGGAAUCUUUAUAUUAUAUAGUUACUCAUUGGUUUUUCUCCAUAAAGACAUUACAUUUCAUGUCAGAACCUUAUAAUAAUAAUAAUUUAACUAAUUAAUUAAUUAAAUAGAAAGUCUCUUAAUCAAACAAAUUGAUAUAACCAAAACACCACUUUAUUGAAGUAGCUGAUCACUUACUUUAUGUAUGAACUUUGUCAUAUCCCUCUUAUCAUAUUCCAUUCAAACCCUCCAACGUCAACAUUUCUGUUCUAUUAUUUCUUUAAUUCAAUACAAAUUUUGUCAAACAUAUAGGUUAUAAAUAUUUUGAAAGAUAUAUAUGGCAUAAGUUCAUACAUAUAUGUUUCACAAACAAGUUACAAGUAUUUUAAUUGUUAUAGUUAGAAAUCACCUUUUUUUUUUUUUACAAAUAAUUUGGAGUGAAGUAAACAAAUAAAAUUGAAUUACAAAAAAGCAGCAAAAAUGGUGAAAAAAAUGAGAAGUAAUGUGUGGCAGUGUGGGUGGGGAAAAAAGAGUUGGUGGGAAGUGAUAAUGAAUUAGGAGAAUGUCAAAAUCAGGUUUUGUGUCCUUCAAACCUAUAAUUUAAUUAUAUGCAUAUGCUCCCUACCUCACUUCCAUAUUAAUAUAAUUUCACUUUAAUAUCCCCAUUAUUUUACACAUUUAGCUUCACUACAUUCCUCUAUUCACCGCCAUCAUUCUCUACUCUCCCUUAUCACUCAUUUUUCCUUUUAUUCUAUUCAACACUUCUUUUUUCUCCAUUUUCUCUAUUUUUCUUACAUUGUUCACUCCUCAAUUUUAAAACUUCUCUUCUACUUAAUUUAUAAACUUCAAUCUUAUAUAUAUAUAUAUAUAAAAGAAAAUUUAGAUCUACCCAUUUCCAAUUUUUCAUUUGAUAUUUCAUUCCCCUAUCCACAUAUAUAUUCUUUCUAAAAACUUUUUAAAAAUUCAUAAACGUUUUAAAAAUUUACGAGCUAAACUUGUAAUUUAUUUUUAGCUUAAAUGUCAAAUUAGAAAUUUGGAUUUUAGUUGUUUGGUAGGCGGCUGUCACUUUAAUAAAUUUAACUUAAGUUAAUUUUGUGUUUAAGAGAUAUCUCUAAAUUUUUUUAAAAAGAUGUUUAAUACUUAUAUUAAAAAUAUUUUUUUUUAUUAUACAAUCAAUAUGAUUAAAAAAUCUUUUAGAGACACGUAAAUAGUAAAAACUAAUUUAAUAUAUAAUCAAUUGAAUAUUUAAUUGCAUUUUCUUAAUAAACAAAGAGUGAUAUGUGAAAAAUGUCAUGUUAAUUACUAUGAAUCAAACUCAUUUUAGUAUUAAUUAUAAAUUUAAUUCAUAAAUAUUCAAAUUGAUGUACAUUUAAUACCUUUUAGUUUUAAGUGUUUAAUAGAUGUGUAGGAGAUAUAUUAAAUAAACAAAAGUUGUUGUAUCAUAUACAAAAUUGAAAAUUUAGAAACCAUACACCAUUUAAUUCAACGUAUUAGAGUGAAAAAUGAAAAAUUGAUGGAGGUAUAUGGUAUACAAUUGAGAGUUGAUUUACCCAUAUUGUAGUUUAGGUCAAUUAAAGUAGUUAUUAAUUGUAAUUAAGAAACAUGAUUGAGAUUAAUAAUAUAUGUGGUGUGUGGGGUUAAUAUAUAAUAAUAAUAGUAGUAAUAAAGCAUAGAAAGUAGGGUGUUUUUUGCAAAUGGUUUUACUUUUGAGGGGGAGUGGAGCAAAGAGAAAGAUAAUGGAUUGAGGGAAAACGUCGUUUCACUUUCAAGUGUGGGGUUCCAUUUUAUCAUUUCUUUCCUUCCUCUGCCAAAUCAAAGGCUACAAAAAGUACUAAUUCCAUUGCUCCAUUCUAUUUUUCAUUUACUAUCUCUCUUAGUAUAAUAAUCCUUCAAAAUAACAUCCAAACUUCUCUUACACAUGCAAAUAAAUUACUAUUCAUAACUAAGCUUACGUUUUACAUGCUUUUCAGUCGGUAUACGUUUUACUAAUCUCUCUUAAAUUUCAAUUCAAUCGGUAUAUUUACAAAAGUUGACGAGAGUGAAUAUUUUUUUUUUCCUUUUAUUAUUUCAAUUUACUUCAAUUGAGAUUCUAAUUAUCCAAAUUGAAAUACAUAAAUAUAUAAUUACUUACUUUUUGACAAUGAUUCAUACAUUCACAGAGAAAAGCACAUCACAUCACAGGAACCUUUUUGCUUUAACCACAAUUAUCAAAUAAAUAUCACAUCAAAAUUACCAAAGUUUGAAUAAUCAUGCAUAUGCAUACACAUAUAUGAAACACAAUAAAUUUCAACGGAAAUUCUAAUUAAAAAGGAAAAACAUGCAAUUGGGUCUUAGAAAAAAGAGGAAAAGAUAUGUAACAUUUUUACCUACUUAGACAAUAUUUGAAUUACCAACUCCACACCAAUAAUACAUAAACAAACAUCAAUUCAAUCUAAAAAAUGUUAAAACAAAUUACAAAUGUUGGAUAGAUGAGUAGGUUUUUGACAAAUAUAGAAUAGCUUUUAUGGCCACGCCAAAAUUUACUAUUAUUAUGUAAGUGAUUUAAAAAGUCCCACGUGAUUAUUGAAGAUAUAAACCAUGCAAUUAAUUUAAAUCUUGGAUUGUGAAAUUUCAAACUCAAUUAUGUUUUUUUUUCUUUCUUUUAAAUAUCAAUUUAUCACUAAGAUGGUUAAGGGUGGAUUAAUAAUCGUUUUUCAAAUUAAUUUCUAAAAAAUGUUUGAAUGUAAAAUUUGUGGUGUAAAAGAAUCACAAAAAUUUCUGGGAUUACUCUUAAAUGUUUUGAGCAUUUGUCGAGCAUUUGUCUCAUGUUGACAUUAUUUUGAUGGCAACCUUGAUUGAUAUAUCAUUAAGUAUUCCUAUUAUUGCUUUUGACCAUUUAUUUAAACUGUUUCACAAAUUUAUGAGUACCAAUUUGUUUUCUUCAUAUUUAAUCAAAUUAAUUAUUAAAAGUAUAAAAUGCAUUUUUGUAAUUCAAACUAUAUAAGAAUUUAUCUACAGUAUAUUAUUGUGAAAAAAAUCUCGAAUAAUAUUCUUAUAAGAAAAUGUGGAACACCACUUAUUUACUUUACAGCUGAUUUCUUAAAACUAAAGCAAUGCGGACUAAUUAUUCAAAGAGAAAGAGAGAGAGAGAGAGAUGCUACCUAUAAAACAACAUAAAAUUAUGGGCUUUUCGGCCCGAAUGCACUCUACAAAAUAGUUCAACCCAAAAAAAAUUAUUUGGGCUUUAUGAUAGUCUGUCUUUGGGCCUCGAUUUGGGUUGUGUGUAUUUUUUUAUAUAAUUAAAUAAAAAAAUAUUUACAGCCGGCUGUGUAAUAAAAAAAUAAAAAAAUUAAGGGUAAUUAUAAUUAACAACUAUUUCACAAAAAUAAUUGAGGGUAUAACAACAUUUAAAAAAAUUGUAAAUAUAGUAAAACUAUCGCUGAUAGAUUUGUAUGAUCUAUCAAUAAUAGACUAAUAUUUACAACAUGGUUGAUAAAUAUAUUUAAUUAUUUUGCAUUUAAUGGCUAAAUUUGCAACUAUCCCAAAAAUUAAAGCCUAUCGAGCCACCAUUAUUUUUUCAUAAAUUUAAGAUUUUCUAUUUGUUGUUUUUUAAUAUUGCGAAACCAUUAUCACUUCAUUUCUUUUUCAUAUUCUUUGCGAUUUAUUCUUCUUCUCUUCCUAUUAGUACUUCUCUUUCUUCAUAUUAUCACUUCUUCUUGUUUGUGAUUGCUUCAUUUUCUCUUCCAGAAUUUAUUUCUUCUUCUUCACCUCUCAUCUUCUUUUUUUUUCUUAUCUGUACAAUAUCUAAACGAUAUUGGUAUAGAACCUAAAUGAUUGUGUACAUUGUUUAGACCACUAUCAUUAAUAGAGCGUUUAGACUGGGUAUAAGAUCUUUAGACUAGACAUAAGGGUACAAGAUUUUUGAAAUUUAUGUUCUAAAACUCAUAGUUUGUAAUUAUAUUCUAUUCAAUAAAGUCAUUAUAUUUAAUACUAUAAUCUCGAGUUAAAUAAACUAAGGUCUCAAGACUAUCUAGUGUAGACUUAAACUUUAUGUAUAGACAUAAAUGUGGAUCAAGUUCAAGUAUAUAACCCAAACGAUCUAUAGUUUAUGAAUAAAGAUUGGACUCUUUAUUCUGGGGACACUAUGGAUGCGACCCACUUUGUAUAGUUUGGAGAAAUGAUGUGAUUCUGAAUCAAUCAUAUACAGACAUGGAAGUGGGGGCAUCUUAUGUUAAGAGUUUACAUAAGGUUGGAACCAUGAAAUAGUCACUUUUAAGUUGUAACAUUGGUGACUUUAAUAAAAUUGACUAUUUUGUUUAAAGUUAUGUUUAUGUAAUUUAAUCUUAAUCUUGAGCUAACUAUGAACUCAUGUUCACAUUUCUUAAAUUUGUAUAGGUGAGAGUAGCUCAUUAACGUUGGUCCAAUAAGCCUCCCAUUUUCGGAUAAGACAAGUGGAUAGUUGAAGACAUAUGGUGCAAGACGAAAUUCACUCCUACUCACUUUAUAGUUAGUAGAUAGAUUGUUUUCUUAAGAACUGAAUUCAAGUCUUGAACAAAAGACCCCACCCUCUCGUUGGCCUGAGAGGGAUCCAAUUUACAGGUUGCGUCUAAAACCAAUUGUUCAAUAGUGGAUCAUUGGGACCUAAGGAGCAAGAUGUAGUCUCGAGGGUUAAACGACACUUUGACCCAGUCAAGAUUACGAACACUUGUAAAAGAUUAACUUACUUAUCAUGGUUAUAUCACAUAGACACAAAUAUAUCUAUAGUGAGGGAAGUGCAACUACAAGACUUUAGUGGAAUGACCUGUUAGUUGCCAAAUGUUGAUUAGCUCAAUCUAUAAGGGUUUAGCCAGUUAAUCUCGGAUCAUUGCAGCCCACGAUCUAUAGGUCCAUUAGGUUCCUUUGUUAGCUCAUAAUGAAUACACUUAGAACAAUAUGUUGGAAUAAUUUGUAUUGUUAGAAUUAGGUAAAGAGAGAGAAACCGACGAAUAUAUGUGAUAUAGUCAUCGGUUAUAAGUUUGAGAUAUAAAUUUAUGUUUAAAUAUAAUUGAAUAUUAAAAAUAUGAAUAUGAAUUCAUAUUCAGAAACUCAUAAUUGAUGGAAACGGUUAAAGUUGACAAAAGUCAAAAUGUUGAAUUUUGACUUUAAAAAGUCAAACUUUGACCAACUUUAUAUUCAAAUGUGAUUUGAAUUUUAAACAAUGAAUGUGAAUUUAUGCUUGGGAGGUCAAAAUUAGUCAAAAUGGAUAAAAUGGUAAAAAAGUCAAAAUGUUGACUUUUGACUUUGACUUGAAUGGUCAAAUUAACUUACUUAUCAUAGUUAUAUUGAACUUUUACUUGACGCGAAAAAAACGUCAAGUAAAAGCUAAUGUAAAAUAGUUCGGAAAACUGUGUGAAAACUUCAUUUUUUUUGAAGCUAUACUUGACAUAUUUUCUUUAAAAUGGUUAAUAUUUGACGUUUCUUUUAAUAAAAUCGUCAAAUAUGUAAAAGAAGCUAGUGUCAAGUAAACCCUUUUUUUGUAGUAGUGAUAAUCAAGAAAAUGUUUGUGCUAAUCGUUACUUCUAGAAAAAGUCUACAUCUUUGUCACCUUUUAUCAUGCUAAAAAAAAUAUGAAUAUGGCCCAACCUUUAAUUUUAAAAUAGAAAAUAAUAUUAGAUUUUUUCAAAUAAAUAAUAGUAAUACUAAUAAAAUCAAAGCAUGAAGAAAUGUAGCUAGCUUUAUGAGUGAUUUUGUUGAUCCAUAGAUUGAGUGCAAUCUUGAUUGAAAUAGGUCAAAAGUACAAAAGAAUAUUGGAAUAUGGAAUCACACCUUUAAUUUUAUUCAAAAUAUUGAAAACUAAACUUUAUUUCCCAUUUUUUAUUUACUAUAUGUAAUAUAAUUUUUUUAAAAAAAAUUAAUUCAUUUUCCAUGCUUCUAGAAAUUUCGUUAUAUUCUUUUUUAUUCAAUUCAAACUUAUUUGUAGUUGUUGUUUAAAAGCAAAACUCACAAAAUUGUAAUAAAACAUUACUCGUUUAAUUAAUUCAAAAAACAAUACUACCAUUUGAUCAUUUUUAACUUCUAAGUUGUAACGUCUUAGACAUCCUUUCUUUUAGUUAGUUUUUAAAAAUAUUUGCCAAAAUGUUAAUGUCAUAGAAUUACAUGUUGAUUUAUUUGAUGAAACUUGACCACUAAUGUAAUUAAAUUAUAGUUUAAAAAGAUGCAGCUUGACUGCUUGAGCAUGACUAUAUGUAAGAGGUUUUAUUUUAAAAUUAAAAAAUUGAUUAAGAUUCAAGAUAUUCUUCUAGCAAAUAAAAAAGAAGACUUAAAGAAUGAGAGUCCAUGAGAUGGUUUUGAAAUGAACAAAGUGGGCACUUAUUUAAUAUUUUAGGGUUAAGUGAAAAGGUUGGAAUUGGAUAAAUUUGAUAAAGACAAAAGAAUAGCCAAAUUCUUAGUUUGAAGUAUUAGGCCACAUUAACCAUAUGACCAUAUUUCAUCACUUUCCAAUAUGUUAAUUAAAGUGAAAAUGACACCAUCUCUAUAACCAAUGACCAUACACUAUUCCAAAUUUAAUAAUAAUAAUUUUUCUAUAAAAGAAAUAAAAUUAAAUAUUAGAAAAGGGUUGGUAAACCAACCAUAUAUACUUGCCUAAGAUUAAGUUUUUUUUUCCCUUGAAAGAGAUGUGCAAGCAAUGAAACAAUAGCCUUUAUUUUCCUUUGCUUUUAACUUUUUUUUUUUUUCUAAUUCUUUUCCUUUUUUAAUAAAUACUAUUCUUCUCUUUAUUUGUUUAACCUUCUUUUGUUGAACAAGAUGUUGAUUGCAUUACCUCUACCCUUUUAACUUCAUUUCUUAAUUUGAUGUUUUAUCAUGAUGAGAAUAAAGAUGUAACCACAAUCUUUUUUACUUUUUGUCUAAUCAUCAUAUUUUUGAACAAUUAUAAUGUAAUAAUUAUUUUUAAUGAAAAAGGAAACAGAGAAGAGGUUUAGUUUGUAAAUAUGUUAGGAGAUGAGUUUUGAUGUAAAUGGAAUUAAAUAUUCAAUUCAUUAACUUAAAAUUUUUGUAGAUAUGUGAGGAAACCAACAAAAAAUAAUCAUAUUAGGGUUGCUGGACAUGACUAAUAACUAUUUUAAGGGUCUUUAACGCUAGGAUUUUUCAAAACCAUAAUAACCAUCUUUUUCGCUACAAUGAAUACAAUUUUGUACUCUUCCAAUAGCUAUAGUUAACACAAAUCAAAACCCUCAAAAUACUACAUUUUUUUACUAAUUUACAUUAUAAUUCUUUUAUUGGCUACAUGGUAUACUAUUUCUUUCUCAAACAUAUAUUUAACGUUAUCAUUUUACAUGUAUUAUAUGUAUUUGGAUAGGUAAGAUAAUUAAAGUAUAGAAGUUAAAUAUAUGUUUGAUUUACCCAAUUUAAUAUAUAUAUAAAAAACAAGAUUAUAAAUCUCUCAGAAAACAAAGUUACAUAGUUAACUAAUUAAAUGAAUGAGAAUAGUCAUAAAUUAAAAUUAACAUUAUUGAAUGUAUUAUCAUUAUAGUCCUAAACAUUAAUUUAAUUACUAAAAAUAAUUAAAUAAACACAAAUUGCUCAUAAUAUCAAUAAUGCAUUUUAAUAUUAAAUAGUUACGAUAGUAAAAUAUUAUUUGCAUAUAUAUAAGUUAAAUUUAUUUAUAAAUAAUAUAUUUAUAUUUAAUAACAAAUGAACGAGACAUUCAUCUUGGCAAAAAAGAGAGAAAAAAAACCAGAAAUUUAUGAUGUCUAUCUCUUCUUGGGGCACACAUGAAGUGUACUGGAAAAUCCAUGUCAUAAUCGUACAAGUUUUUAAGUUCUAUAGAGUAGGAUAAUAGUAUCAUAAGAAAAAAAAAAUGGAAUUAUGUCAAUAUUAAAUGUAGCAUAUGUUAUAAAUAGAUUAUAUAGAAUCGGUAGAUUUCAGUGUUGAGUUAAGUAUCGUAUUACCAUCUGAAUUAGCUUAAAGUAAAAGAAAAACUAGUGAUUAGUAUGAUAUGUGCUAUAUAAAAUGAAUAAAAGUAUUUUUGUAAGGAAAGGAUAAAUGGUUAAUUUUAAAUAUCUAAAUGUUAAUAAUUUUGAUUAGUAACCCAUCUUCCCACGUUUUAAGGAUAUUUAUCUUGAUUGAGGAGAUUAAAUUGUUGAUUUUUUCUUAAAUCUAUUUUUUAAAAAAAUAAUUAGGUGACAAAGUUUGAUAUUUAUGUUUGUUUAUUUAUUUUUAGCAUUUUCUUGAAAGAAAAAAUGUUAAUUUUCAGUUUAAUAUGUUUACUACUCUCACCCUAAAUCAAAACAAUUCUAUUAAAACAAGUGCUAUUUUUGAAAAUGCAUUAACAGUUAUAUUUUUAUCAUGUAAGAAGAUAUAUUAGUUUGUACAUGAUAUAUUUGAAAAUGCAUGUAAAGUAUAGGGUUUUGUUUUAAGAAAAUAACAGUAUUUACCUUGUCUAAAACAAUUUUGAAAACGAAAAAAGUUCACAGACUCACAAUGAAAAAUGUCAAAAAUACCUAAGUCAACAUAUGAUUAAUUGACCACAUGCACACAUAUAAUUCUUCUUCCAAACGAUCAUGAACCAAGAUCAUUUAGAUAUUGGUACACGAUCGUGCACUAAGAGCUAAACAAUCAUGUACAAAAUCUAAAAGAUCAUGGUUCAAGAUCAUAUACUAAUAUCAUUUAUGUUUAGUACAAGAUCGUGUACAAAUAUCGUUGAGAUUUUGUACACAAUUAUUUAGCUUUUGGUACGUGAUCGUAUACCAAGAUCUAAACAAUUCUUGUUCAAUAUCGUGUACCAAGAUCUUUUAUAUUUGGUACACGAUCUUGACCCAAGAUUGUUUAGAUCUGAAAGUGAAAAUAUAUGAGAGAUGACGAAGAUCGUUUACUAAGUGUGAAUUUGAAUAAGUGAAAAAAGAACAAAAAAAUAUGAGAGAUAACGAAAAAAGAAGAAAUUUUAGAAGAGAAAAUGAAGAAAUCACAAACAAGAACAGGUGAAAAAUGAGGAAGAAGAAGUAAUAACACGAACAGAAGAUGAAUAAAUCACAAAGAAGAAGAAAAAAAUGAAAAAAAAAUUGUCUGCAUUAACAAACAUGGAAUUUAGAAAAAUAUAAUGAGUUUUAUACAUAUUUUUUUAUUUUUUUAUUUUUAUAAAAAAUUAACCUAUAAAGAGUAUUUUAAAAAAUAGCAAAAUAUUAAAACUACCCACAAAAUAUAGAAAAAUUCAAUCAACCCUCUCUAGUUUUUUUCAUAUCCAUAACAGUUCCAAAAAAUGGAAGAAUAAAAUGGUUUUAUAUAACUUUUGAUGGGCAACUUCAUUACAAGAUCGAAGAAUAAGAUUAACACUCAAUACGUGGGUCUGACUCAUCUGAUCUCCCAUUUCAUCGAGCUAACAAGAGAGGCAAAAUAAAACGUUUUAUUUUGAAAAA
rnacentral:lncRNA from 1 species